rnacentral:rRNA from 1 species
AGCGAACGCUGGCGGCAGGCUUAACACAUGCAAGUCGAGCGGGCAUCCUUGUGGUGUCAGCGGCAGACGGGUGAGUAACGCGUGGGAACGUGCCCUUCGGUUCGGAAUAACUCAGGGAAACUUGAGCUAAUACCGGAUACGUGCGAGAGCAGAAAGGUUUAUCUGCCGAAGGAUCGGCCCGCGUCUGAUUAGCUAGUUGGUGAGGUUACGGCUCACCAAGGCGACGAUCAGUAGCUGGUCUGAGAGGAUGAUCAGCCACACUGGGACUGAGACACGGCCCAGACUCCUACGGAAGGCAGCAGUGGGGAAUAUUGGACAAUGGGGGCAACCCUGAUCCAGCCAUGCCGCGUGAGUGAUGACGGCCUUAGGGUUGUAAAGCUCUUUUCUCCGGGACGAUAAUGACGGUACCGGAGGAAUAAGCCCCGGCUAACUUCG